GGGGCCGACUGGUUUUGACAGCGAGACUAAUUGGAAUAUAAGCAUGCCGAGCUUUGUUAUGUGGCUCGUUAAUCUCAUGUAUCACACUUUUAAUUGGCGAAAAUAAUUACGCUCUUGCCGCUUAAUCUGAAUUAUAGUAAGAUUAGCCUCGUCUCUACUAGGUAGAGAAGCGAGAUGUCCCUGAAUAGCCUCUGUCGACGGCGAUUCAAAUCGGGGCACCAUAAAUGUCGAUAUAAGGAUAUUGUUGCUUUGGCAGUAUCACUAAAACUUAAAGAAGCUAAGUAUGUAUUGGGCGGUUUCUAGUCAGGUACGUAUCUAAAAUUAAAUAGAAACUAAGCACGUAGAAAGUAUUGUAAUUACUUGUUUGGACGAGGGUUCGAAUCCCUCCGGCUCCACAC
rnacentral:tmRNA from 1 species